GAUGAACGCUGGCGGCGUGCCUAAUACAUGCAAGUCGAGCGAAUGGAUUAAGAGCUUGCUCUUAUGAAGUUAGCGGCGGACGGGUGAGUAACACGUGGGUAACCUGCCCAUAAGACUGGGAUAACUCCGGGAAACCGGGGCUAAUACCGGAUAACAUUUUGAACCGCAUGGUUCGAAAUUGAAAGGCGGCUUCGGCUGUCACUUAUGGAUGGACCCGCGUCGCAUUAGCUAUUUGGUGAGGUAACGGCUCACCAAGGCAACGAUGCGUAGCCGACCUGAGAGGGUGAUCGGCCACACUGGGACUGAGACACGGCCCAGACUCCUACGGGAGGCAGCAGUAGGGAAUCUUCCGCAAUGGACGAAAGUCUGACGGAGCAACGCCACGUGAGUGAUGAAGGCUUUCGGGUCGUAAAACUCUGUUGUUAGGGAAGAACAAGUACAGUAGUAACUGGCUGUACCUUGACGGUACCUUAUUAGAAAGCCACGGCUAACUACGUGCCAGCAGCCGCAGUAA
rnacentral:rRNA from 1 species